UACGAAGGGGGCUAGCGUUGCUCGGUAUCACUGGGCGUAAAGGGCGCGUAGGCGGACAGUUUAGUCAGAGGUGAAAGCCCAGGGCUCAACCUUGGAAUUGCCUUUGAUACUGGCUGUCUUGAGUACGGGAGAGGUGUGUGGAACUCCGAGUGUAGAGGUGAAAUUCGUAGAUAUUCGGAAGAACACCAGUGGCGAGGGCGACACACUGGCCCGUUACUGACGCUGAGGCUCGAAAGCGUGGGGAGCAAACAGC
rnacentral:rRNA from 1 species